rnacentral:rRNA from 1 species
UACGAAGGUCCCAAGCGUUAUCCGGAAUUAUUGGGCGUAAAGCGCAUGUAGGCGGUUUGUUAAGUCUGGUGUGAAAGCUCAAGGCCUAACCUUGAAAUUGCAUUGGAAACUGGCAAACUAGAAUACUGGAGGGGUAAGUGGAAUUCCAUGUGUAGCGGUGGAAUGCGUAGAUAUAUGGAGGAACACCGAUGGCGAAGGCAGCACUCUGGGCCGGUACUGACGCUGAGGAGCGAAAGCGUGGGGAGCGAACAGG